rnacentral:lncRNA from 1 species
AAAGCCCUAGAGGGCUUUUGGGACAGGGAAGGGUGGGUUCCUUACGUGAGUGCUGCUUGGCUUCCUUCAACCCUCUGCUGCUGCAGCUCCUGCGUGCCUUGCACACCCAGGGCCUCUCCUCUCUGCCUCUGGGCAGGCUUUGCUGCUUGUGCAGCGGUGCGUGGGGCAGCCAGGUCCCCAGGGAGCAGGCCAAAGGAGGCUCCAGCAGCAGCGAGCUCUGACCUCGGUGCCCUGAGCCUCUCGCAGUUUUGUCUGACUGGUGAUGGAGCAGGAGGUUUGUGUGCCAGGCAGCUGCCCAGCACCGGGAGCACCGUGGGACUCUGCAUCGCCCACCGGGGGCUUCCAGUGGAGGCUGAAGGAAUGUGCUCAGUGAGGGGCUCUCAGGCGUGGGGGAGGAUCAGAUCUCGGCUCCCGGUACCCUUCUGCCGCGCUGACUUGGAGCAAAGCAGCGCUCAUCUGUCUAAUUAGGAGCAGUGCUUCUGGCAGUCAAGCUUCUUCCUCUCAGGAAUAAGUGGGUUUUCUUCGCAGCUGCACCUCCUGAGAGUGCUUUAAGUGUUUCCUGCCAAGAGCCCUGCCUGUGGCAGGCACAGCCCCAUGGCUUUCCCUAUAGGUCCUGGCUGAGGGCUCUGCCCGCCUCGAUCAAAGUGACCCCUGCAUCGGGUGGGCUGCUCCUGGCCCACGGGUGCCAGGAGGAUGGGGACAAGCCCUGGCCAUGGGUGAUGACUGCUACACCAGCCAGCUGGGGGACCAGCCCCCCCGGGGUCCAGAUUCCCCACAGCUAACCGGGGGGCUUGGCUCAGGGC